UACGUAGGUGGCAAGCGUUGUCCGGAUUUAUUGGGUUUAAAGGGUGCGUAGGUGGCCCUGUAAGUCAGUGGUGAAAUAUCUCAGCUUAACUGAGAGGGUGCCAUUGAUACUGCAGGGCUUGAGUACAGAUGAGGUAGGCGGAAUUGACGGUGUAGCGGUGAAAUGCAUAGAUAUCGAGAGGAACACCUGCGGCGAAGGCGGGUUGCUGGGCCGAUACUGACGCUGAUGCGCGAAAGCCAGGGGAGCGAACGGG
rnacentral:rRNA from 1 species